rnacentral:rRNA from 1 species
CUCAACCCGGGCAUGCCAUGCGAUACUGCUUGGCUAGAGGCCGGCAGGGGCCAGUGGAAUUCCCGGUGUAGCGGUGGAAUGCGUAGAUAUCGGGAGGAGCACCAGCGGCGAAGGCGACUGGCUGGGCCGGACCUGACGCUGCAGCGCGAAAGCGUGGGGAUCAAACAGGAUUAGAUACCCUGGUAGUCCACGCCGUAAACGAUGGGUACUAGAUGUUGGGAGGUCUUGGGCCUCUCAGUGUCGCAGCUAACGCAUUAAGUACCCCGCCUGGGGAUUACGGCCGCAAGGCUGAAACUCAAAGGAAUUGACGGGGGCCCGCACAACCGGUGGGGCAUGUGGUUUAAUUCGAAGCAACGCGAAGAACCUUACCAGGGCUUGACAUGCUGGUGGUAGGGGCCUGGAAACAGGCCGUGACCCUUCGGGGAGCC